rnacentral:rRNA from 1 species
UACGAAGGGGGACUAGCGUUGCUCGGAAUGACUGGGCGUAAAGGGCGCGUAGGCGGAUGGCACAGUCAGAUGUGAAAUUCCCGGGCUUAACCUGGGGGCUGCAUUUGAUACGUGUUGUCUUGAGUUCGGAAGAGGGUCGUGGAAUUCCCAGUGUAGAGGUGAAAUUCGUAGAUAUUGGGAAGAACACCGGUGGCGAAGGCGGCGACCUGGUCCGACACUGACGCUGAGGCGCGAAAGCGUGGGGAGCAAACAGG